UACGGGGGGGGCAAGCGUUGUUCGGAAUUACUGGGCGUAAAGGGUUCGUAGGUGGCCAACUAAGUCAGACGUGAAAUCCCUCAGCUUAACUGAGGAAGUGCGCCCGAAACUGCAGAGCUUGAGUACCGGAGAGGAUGGCGGAAUUCCCCAAGUAGAGGUGAAAUUCGUAGAUAUGGGGAGGAACACCGGUGGCGAAGGCGGCCAUCUGGACGGUCACUGACGCUGAGACGCGAAAGCGUGGGUAGCAAACAGG
rnacentral:rRNA from 1 species